CAUUUCUUUUAGAUAAUAAUUAAAAGUUCGACCUGCUCAAUGAAUUUUAAAUAGCUGCGGUAUUUUGACCGUACAAAGGUAGCAUAAUCAUUAGUUUUUUAAUUGAAAGCUAGAAUGAAUGGUUUAACGAAAAGAGAGCUGUCUUAUUAUUAUUUGUAUAAUUUAAUUUUUAAGUUAAAAAGCUUAAAUUUUAUUAAAAGACGAGAAGACCCUAUAGAUCUUUAUAUUAUUUUUUUAAAUAUGUUUUUUAUUUUUUUAAUUUUUUAAAAAUUAAUAUUUUAUUGGGGUGAUAGAAAGAUAGAAUAAACUCUUUUUUAAAAAAUUAAUAAUUUUUAUAUUUUUGAUCCAUUUUUUUGAUUAUAAGAAUAAGUUACCUUAGGGAUAACAGCGUAAUUUUUUUAAAGAGUUCUUAUCGAUAAAAGAGAUUGCGACCUCGAUGUUGGAUUAAGAAAAAAUUUUGGUGCAAAAGUUAAAAUUUUAGGUCUGUUCGACCUUUAAAUUCUUACAUGAUCUGAGU
rnacentral:rRNA from 1 species